UCCGCAGGCGGGUUUAUAAGUCAGUGGUGAAAGCCUACAGCUCAACUGUAGAACUGCCAUUGAUACUGUAGAUCUUGAAUUCGGUCGAAGUGGGCGGAAUAUGACAUGUAGCGGUGAAAUGCUUAGAUAUGUCAUAGAACACCGAUAGCGAAGGCAGCUCACUAGGCCUGGAUUGACGCUCAGGGACGAAAGCGUGGGGAGCAAACAGGAUUAGAUACCCCAGUA
rnacentral:rRNA from 1 species